rfam:Picea glauca, whole genome shotgun sequence.
UUAUGUGCAUGCCUACAACGUUAAUGCACUGGGUCCCACUAAAAAUUUGUAGUUAAUCACGCUUGGGCUAGAGUAGUACUGGGAUAGGUGACCUUCUGAUAAUUCCUAGUGUUUUACAUACC